rnacentral:pre_miRNA from 1 species
CCCACACCCAUGUGUAUAGGACCCAAAAGGAUUACCAUUAAAUAUGGCACAGAUCUCUAGAAACGUUAUCACAUGGGUAUGAGAUAUGAUUUUUCUAGAGAUCUAUGCCAUAUUUAAUGGUGAUCCUUUGGAGUCCUACACACAUGGGUGUAGG